UCCUGCUUGGAUUUACUUUUGGCAACGUGUUUGGAAUGUUUCUGGCUCAGAAUUAUGACAUAUCAAACCUGGCUAAAAAACUUGAAGAAAUUUAAAAGGGACUUGGAUACCAAGAAGAAACCCUCUAGUUCACGAAGUAGACUCCAGCCCUGUCUCCUGGAUAUACUGAUUUCUGCUAUUCUUGAGGGCCUCCUUACCAUCUGAACCAAAAACUUUUGUUUUAAAUUCCCGCCUCAUCGAUUUUCCUCUCUGCUAGAUCCUGUGUUGCUUUACAGCACAAAAGGGCCCACAGGUUAAGAAGUACCCUUUUCUGGGACACCUGGGUGGCUCAGUCUGUUAAGCACCGGACUUCGACUCAGGUCUUGAUCUCUUGGUCUGUGGGUCUGAGCCCUGCGUUGGGUUCUGUGUUGACAGCUCGGAGCCUGGAGCUCGGUUUGGAUUCUGUGUCUCCCUCCGUCUCUGACCCUCCCCCACUCACGCUCUGUCUCUCUCUGCCUCAAAAGUAAAUAAACGUUAAAAUUUUUAAACAAUUUUUUUAACUUUUAUUUACUUUUGAGGCAGAGAGAGCGUUAGUGGGAGAGGGGCAGAGAGAGAGGGAGACACAGUAUGUCAGCACAGAGUCCCUGUGCAGGGCUCGAACUCAGGAGAGGUGAGAUCAUGCCCUAAGCUGAAGUCGGACCCUUAACCUACUAAGCCACCCAGGUGCAGGGCUCAAACUCAGGAGAGGUGAGAUCAUGCCCUAAAAGCUAAUAAAUAAAUAAACAAAUAAAUAAAUGAAGUACCCUUUUCCAACAUCAUCACCUCUGCCAUUCCUCCUUGCAGCCACUUGGGAUGGCCUAAGACUGGACUUAUGGUACUAGAUUAGUAAAUGUGACCUUUAGUAAUUUUUUCUUUAUUCUUUGGGAUUUCUACUAGCUUUUUUUUUUUUUUGAAGAAAAUUGAUGACUUUUGUACAGCUGAUCUGUUAUAAAGCUGACUUCACAGCUUAGCAAUUAUAGUGGGUGUUUAAACAUUUGGUACUAAAUUAUGGCUUUUCAAAGUAAUUAAAAUUAAUGUCCAGAAGCCAGUUACUCCUAAAUUAUCCAAUUGUUGUCAGGCAGCUGCAUGGUUGCUAAUUUAACCAGUAAGUCAGUUUGCUGCCCAUUAACUGAAAAACUAUGUUCUGAGAGCUCUGUCAGAACUAUCGAGUUUAAAAAUAUGUAAAAUAGGGGCACCUGGGUGGCUCAGGGCAUGAUCUUGGGGUUUGUGAGUUCCAGCCCCGCAUGGGGCCCUGUGCUCGCAGCUCAGAGCCUGGAGCCUGCUUCAGAUUCUGUCUGUCUCUCUGCCCCUCCCCCACCUCUCUCUCAAAGAUAAAUAAACAUACAAAAAUUAAAAAUAAGUAAAAUAAUGGCCUCUGUCCUCCAUAGAAUUCAGUCUCGUAUGCAUGUUUUUCCUUAAUGAUGUCUUUGACUUGGCUCCUUUUGCUCAAAAGAAUCAUAUUUACUUUAAGGCAUUACAGGUGCAUUUGAUAUUACAUGAUAGAUAAGUGACACGUUAUCUAUAAAGGAAAUGUUAUGCCUUUUCACAUUGAGAAAUGUGUUUACAUUAUAACUUUAUAGUGAUUCUCAUAAGAAAACUG
rnacentral:lncRNA from 1 species